UGCAAUGUUCCUGCAUGUUUAUAAAUAUAUAUAAUGUAGAGGUAAAUUGUGACUUCCAGUACUACGAUUUACUGAUUUUGAUAAAGAUGAUGACGGUGUUUG